rnacentral:rRNA from 1 species
UGGCGGCGUGCCUAACACAUGCAAGUCGAGCGGGACAUGCGACGGAGACGAAGUACUCGUACGGAGUCAAAGAUGUAAUGUCUAGCGGCGGACGGGUGAGUAACGCGUGAGCAACCUGUCCCUUACAGGGGGAUAACACAGCGAAAGUUGUACUAAUACCGCAUAAGACCACAGAGUGACAUCGCUCAGGGGUCAAAGGAGCAAUCCGGUAAGGGGUGGGCUCGCGUCCGAUUAGAUAGUUGGUGAGGUAACGGCCCACCAAGUCGACGAUCGGUAGCCGACCUGAGAGGGUGAUCGGCCACAUUGGGACUGAGACACGGCCCAAACUCCUACGGGAGGCAGCAGUGGGGGAUAUUGCACAAUGGGCGCAAGCCUGAAUGCAGCAACGCCGCGUGAGGGAAGACGGUUUUCGGAUUGUAAACCUCUGUCUUUGGUGACGAAGAAAUGACGGUAGCCGAGGAGGAAGCCACGGCUAACUACGUGCCAGCCGCCGC